rnacentral:rRNA from 1 species
GAUGAACGCUGGCGGCGUGCCUAAUACAUGCAAGUCGAGCGAACGGACGAGAAGCUUGCUUCUCUGAUGCUAGCGGCGGACGGGUGAGUAACACGUGGAUAACCUACCUAUAAGACUGGGAUAACUUCGGGAAACCGGAGCUAAUACCGGAUGAUAUUUUGAACCGCAUGGUUCAAAAGUGAAAGACGGUCUUGCUGUCACUUAUAGAUGGAUCCGCGCUGCAUUAGCUAGUUGGUAAGGUAACGGCUUACCAAGGCAACGAUGCAUAGCCGACCUGAGAGGGUGAUCGGCCACACUGGAACUGAGACACGGUCCAGACUCCUACGGGAGGCAGCAGUAGGGAAUCUUCCGCAAAGGGCGAAAGCCUGACGGAGCAACGCCGCGUGAGUGAUGAAGGUCUUCGGAUCGUAAAACUCUGUUAUUAGGGAAGAACAUAUGUGUAAGUAACUGUGCACAUCUUGACGGUACCUAAUCAGAAAGCCACGGCUAACUACGUG